UACGAAGGGUGCAAGCGUUACUCGGAAUUACUGGGCGUAAAGCGUGCGUAGGUGGUUCGUUAAGUCUGUCGUGAAAGACCCCGGCUCAACUGGGGAGUGUCGUGCGAUACGGGCGGACUGGAGGCCAGUAGGGGGAUGCGGAAUUCCGGGUGUAGUGGUGGAAUGCGUAGAGAUCCGGAGGAACACCAGCGGCGAAGGCGGGUCUCUGGGCAGUAACUGACGCUGAGGAGCGAAAGCGUGGGGAGCGAACAGG
rnacentral:rRNA from 1 species